AUUUUAUAUCAGUGUUGCACUAUAUUCUUUUCAAUUUUUUUUUUGCAUGGGUCUUCCAAACGAGACAAAUGCCGAGUUCCCUGGAAUCUUUAAUACAUUGAUGAGCUCUAACUAUUUGAAAUAUUGGAAGUGCAACCUUGAACUUUGGAGAUUUUAAAUGUUUUUAACUUUAUCAUCCAAUGAGUUCUUUUUUCCGUUUUUGUAUUUUUAG